rnacentral:rRNA from 1 species
AACGAACGCUGGCGGCAUGCCUAACACAUGCAAGUCGAACGAGACCUUCGGGUCUAGUGGCGCACGGGUGCGUAACGCGUGGGAAUCUGCCCCUUGGUUCGGAAUAACAGCGAGAAAUUGCUGCUAAUACCGGAUAAUGACGUAAGUCCAAAGAUUUAUCGCCAAGGGAUGAGCCCGCGUAGGAUUAGCUAGUUGGUGUGGUAAAGGCGCACCAAGGCGACGAUCCUUAGCUGGUCUGAGAGGAUGAUCAGCCACACUGGGACUGAGACACGGCCCAGACUCCUACGGGAGGCAGCAGUGGGGAAUAUUGGACAAUGGGCGAAAGCCUGAUCCAGCAAUGCCGCGUGAGUGAUGAAGGCCUUAGGGUUGUAAAGCUCUUUCACCGGGGAAGAUAAUGACGGUACCCGGAGAAGAAGCCCCCGGCUAACUCCGUGCCAGCAGCCGCGG